AUUGAACGCUGGCGGCAGGCCUAACACAUGCAAGUCGAACGAGUGGCGGACGGGUGAGUAAUAUAUGGGAACCUGCCUGAUGGAGGGGGAUAACUACUGGAAACGGUGGCUAAUACCGCAUACCAUCGGAUGUGCCCAGAUGGGAUUAGCUAGUAGGUGGGGUAAAGGCUCACCUAGGCGACGAUCCCUAGCUGGUCUGAGAGGAUGACCAGCCACACUGGAACUGAGACACGGUCCAGACUCCUACGGGAGGCAGCAGGGGGGAAUAUUGCACAAUGGGGGCAAGCCUGAUGCAGCCAUGCCGCGUGUAUGAAGAAGGCCUUCGGGUUGUAAAGUACUUUCAGCGGGGAGGCGGUACCUGCAGAAGAAGCACCGGCUAACUCCGUGCCAGCAGCCGCGGUAAUUC
rnacentral:rRNA from 1 species